AAAGAAGCAUUUUCAUUGGCUGCAAUCACAAAAGCCCAGCUAUAGAUACAAAUACCCGCUACGUUUUUGUUAUUUAUUGCACUACCUUAUGUGUAACUCAAAUUGCUGAUCCGAAAUUUUACUCAUUUGUAGAAAUUAUUUUAUGAAAGAUAAAAUUAUCAAUCGUACAACAAUUAAAAUAAUAUCUAAUGUCUUGUAUCCUCUUUCAGCAGUUUUUUUCUUUCUAGUCAGGAUGGCACAAGGAAACUUUUAUUCACCCUGUUGUUUGUGUGGUGUGCUAUUAAUUCUGCGACUAGAGUUGGUGCUUCAAAAAUGGAGUCUUCAACUUCAGGAUAUACGGCUUCAGAAAGAACAACUGUACUUGCCACUUCAACCUCAGCAAAACCAGCUGCAACCUCAUCAGAUUCUUCAGGUGCAACAAUGGUUAUAACUACAGAAAGACUUGCUUCAACAACCAUGACUACAUCUUCAGAAAAGACAAAAGUAACUGAAACAACAAAUACUGCAUCCACAACCACAACUGAACAUUCCACUGCUACAGCUAAAAGAGUGGAAACCACAACUACAGCUUCAUUAACUACAUCUACAAGAAACGAUCCAAAAAC
ensembl:lncRNA